rnacentral:piRNA from 1 species
UCAUUGGGCUGUAGUAGGGAAAAGUC